AUACUAGCCUGGCAUGGGAGAUACCAUGAUCACGAAAGUGUUUUUCCUAGGGAGAGGGUUAUUAAUUGCACUCUGAAUGUGCUAUCCACUGUGAUUUCCACAAAUGCAGGCGAUUCAACUGCAUAAUUUGUGGUAGUGGAAUGGAAGACUGUAUUCAUUCUC